rnacentral:rRNA from 1 species
GCUUGAGCACGUAGGUGGGUUUGUAAGUCAGAUGUGAAAGCCUUCUGUUCAACGGAAGAAUUGCAUCUGAAACUACAAGUCUUGAGUGUAGGAGGGGAGAAUGGAACUUCUGGUGGAGCGGUGAAAUGCGUAGAUAUCAGAAGGAACGCCGGCGGCGAAAGCGAUUCUCUGGCCUAUUACUGACACUCAGUGUGCGAAAGCUAGGGGAGCAAACGGGAUUAGAUACCCCGGUAGUCCUAGCCGUAAACGAUGGGCACUAAGUAGAGGGAAUUACCGAUGUUCUCUCUGCCGUAGCUAACGCAUUAAGUGCCCCGCCUGGGGAGUACGGCCGCAAGGCUAAAACUCAAAAGAAUUGACGGGGGCUCGCACAAGCGGUGGAGCAUGUGGCUUAAUUCGAUGCAACGCGAAAAACCUUACCGGGGCUUGACAUGGUAGAAGUAGGAACCCGAAAGGGUAACGAACGGUAUCCAGUCCGUAACUAUUACAGGUGUUGCAUGGCUGUCGUCAGCUCGUGUCGUGAGACGUUGGGUUAAGUCCCCUAACGAGCGAAACCCUUAUUUUUAGUUACCAGUGGGUUAUGCCGGGUACUCUAGAAAGACUGCCGUCGUCAAGACGGAGGAAGGUGGGGAUGACGUCAAGUCAUCAUGGCCCUUAUGCCCCGGGCUGCACACGUGCUACAAUGGUCGGUACAAACGGAUGCGAAGCCGAGAGGUGAAGCGAAUCCAAGC